GAGUUGAGAGCAUUUAUGGAUGACAGAGAAUUAGUUACAAUUAAAAUGUCAAUCUUUGGUACAUAGAUGCAUUUCAGUACAAGGAGUAUGGCAAACAGUUGUGUCUGAAGGCUAGAGGCCCAAUUAUCGAUGUGUGCUUCAAUUUCUUUAAGAGAGCCAUCACUCUGUACGACAACAGCAGCACUACGAGCUGCACCAGUGGAUUGGUGAACAUAACCAUGAGCGUAAAUUAUUUGCGAGUGUGUGCUGUGACUAAAUUAUCAAUACAGCUUAAGGCCUCGUGUUUGAUUUGAAGGCGAAGUUUGUUAUGAUUUAAGUAGUAGUUUGGGGGGAAAUGGAGGAAUAAUAGUUUGGAAUGAGGUAAUAUUUCCUGGAGCGGAGAAGUGCCGCUGUUGCCUUACUUGACAUAGAUCAUGUAUGUGAUUCAUGUGGAGAGAAUUGAUUUUAUAAUUUGACACUAUUUAUUGACGGUGGUUAUUUUUGUUAUUGGUGAAGUUUGAAGGGCUUGGGAGUUAAAGCGACUGACGCUAUAAUUGCUAGUGAGUAUUUUGUUGUUAAUCAGUUUGAAUGUUAAUAUUUUUUAUAUAAUUUGAGUAUAUUUGUGCAAAUUAUAAGAAGUUUUUGAUUUUUUUAUUUUUUUUUUAUUUUUUUGUUACACGUUGAUGGAAGUUGGAGGUGGUGGUGUGUAAAGAUGAGUAAUGUUUGAUUAUGUAUAUUUUGUAUUUAAAUUUAUUUGUCAUGUAGAGAGAUGAUUUACUAAUUAUUUAAAUUUUUUUUUUUUUUUCGGGUUGAAGUGAGUUGACGGUUGAGUGUGGUUGGCGGAUUUUGGCCGAGGCGGCUAUUGUAGAAUGGUUUUUAUGGUUAAUAUUGUUGGUGAUGAAUUGGCGGCCAAGUGUGAGUGACGGAGUUUUAUUAUAGGAAGUAAGCGUGGACUGCUGCUGCUGCUGGUGGUGGUGGUGGUUAUGCUGCUAAUGCUGUGUAUUAAGAUAAGUAAUAUUUUCUGUUUGUGUAAACUGUUUGUUUGAGAGUUAUAGGGAGAAUAAUGUUUCUGGGUUGAAGAUAGUUUUUAUUUGAGGAUACAAAAAUUACUUUGAGUGUAUUAAGGCUUGAAACGGGGAGCAAAUAAUGAAGGUCGCAUCCCAGACUUGUCAUUGUUAGUUUUAGAAAAAGUGUAUAUAUAAUGUGGGAGUUGUGUAUACAUUUGUGGUGUUUGAAGUCUUAAUAUGCGUAGUGGAGUUUUUUUUUUUUUUUUUUUUUUUUUUUUUAUAAUGGUGGGUAUGGAUGUAUUUUAUAAAUAUGAAUUUAUUUUAUUUUUUAAAUGUGGUAGUAAUAAAAUGAGUACUGAUUUUAAGUAAGUUUGAGAUGUUGGAUGGGGGAAGUGUGAAUGUAUUUAAAUUAUUUUAUUUGAUAUGUUUAGUAAGAAAUUUAAUUAGUAUUUCAGGUUGGUGAAGGUGAUGAAUUUACAUCUAACUAACUAACUGACAGACUGACUGAGUGGUUGACUGAUUUUUACUAGUGGUGUGUAUUUGGUAUGCCUUUUUUUUUUAUUUUAGAAUUGACAAUGUUUGAAGAAAUGAUGUGAAAUGUUUGUAGGUAUUUUUUUAAAUUGUUUAAUAUAAUAGACUAAUUGAAAUAUUUUAUUGCAGAUUUUUGUUGUGCCGAGGUGUUGAUGGGAAGACUGAGUAAAUGUUGUUAUUGGUGCUGUUAUUUAAGAUGAGUAAAAUUAUUUAUUGUUGUAAUAAGUAUUAUUAAAGAUUAACUAGUUAUGUGUUGAGAAGAUUUAUUUGAAGAUAAUUUUUGGUUGAACAAUAAAUUUAGUUUAAAGUGUAUUAAAACCUGAAACACGGACUAAAUAAUGAGGGUCACAUCCUAGACUUGUCAUUAUUAGUUUUUGAACAAGUGUAUAUGUAAUGUGGGAGUUGUGUAUACAUUUGUAGUGUUUGAAGUGUUAAUGUGUAGUGGAAUUGUAUAUGAAAAUUUAGAGAUUUGAUGAGAGAAAUGUCAAUAUAAGUGAAUGUUUUCCAGAGGAUGCGAUUGAGUUUGGUUGAGGCAUCGAGUGUAUGGAGUUAUUAUUGAAAGGCGUGUAUUAACAUUUGUUUUAAAUAUUUAAAAUUUUUUAUUUUAAUAUUUUUUAUUAAUAAAAAUUCAUAUUUUUUCAGGUUGGAGGUUGUGGGGUGACUGAGUUUGGUAGAGGCAGCGAGUAGGAGGAAUUAAUGUUGAAAGGUAUGUGAAGGCGACGACUAAUUGGCGGCUGAUUAAAAUAAUGAUUUUUGUGUCGAGGCAUUGAGUGUUUACCUGGAGAGAGUUUGGGGGGUCAACGACCCCGCGGCCCGGUCUGUGACCAGGCCUCGUGGUGGAUGAGCGCCUGAUGAACCAGGCUGUUACUGCUGGCUGCACGCAAACCAACGAGGAGAGUUUUUGAUAUGGUGAUUGAUUGUUAGUGAUUAGGAGAGGCGGAGAUAAUGUAGGAGCUAAUAAUGAAAAGUUGUUGGAAGUGUCUGUGGCGGUGGCAUCAACAGUGACAUUGGUCAAUUUGAUGUAGAUUAUGUUAGAGGGAGGGAGUUAAUCAAUUGUUUGACUAUUUUAAGAUAAUUAGUUAUUGAAUCUCAAGUGAGGAAUAGGUUUUGGUGAAUUGUGGACCGAGCAUUGUAAAAGCCAUAUUGACUUUGAUCACUGAAAGAGUGAAGAUACUGCUGGUGUCCAGACCAAGUUUAGACUAAUAACUACAAACAUAGUUAAUAAUGAAGGUCGCAUCCCAGACUUUUCAUUGUUAAUAUUACUUCAAGUGUAUAUAUAAUGUGGGAGUUUAUAUAUGUUUGUGGUGUUUGAGUUAUUACGUUGAGACUUGUGUUUUGGAAAUACCGGGUAUUGAUGUACUCUGGAUGGGUUGAUUUGUCGCUGUGAAAUGGUUAGUAACAUUAUUUGUGAAACAUGAUACCAAUAAAUAGAUUAGUUAUGGUUUAUUAUAAUGAAGAGGAAGUGGUAAGAUUAUAGAGUUUGUGGGAAGUUGAGCGUAGACUGAAAUUCCUAAAUGAAGAAACUUUAUAUGAUGGGUAUAUAUGAUUUAUUAUAAUGAAAAUUGAUAAUAAAAAGUGUAUAUAUUUUAUCUUUAAUUGGAAUUUUUUGAGAUUAUAAAAAAGUAAAAUAUUGGUUUAAAGUAUUUUAUUGUGGAAAUUGAGAUAUGAAAAUUGUUAAAAUAGUUUUUUACUGAAAGUUUAAAUAAAAAGAAAAAUUAUGAAAAUGUUUAUUUAUUAAAUAUGAAAAGAAAUUGAUUAGCAUUACUUAAAUUUGGAAAAAAUAUGAAAAUAAAUUUUUUUUUUUUUAGAAAUAUAAUUAAUAGUUAAAUUGUUUAAUAAUGAUUUUAUUUGAAAAAUAUUUUAGUACAAAUUGUCGUAUUCUGUUAAAAGUAAUCAAUCAUAUUAUGAGAAUAAUGAAAAGAAAAUGGCAAAUAUCAUUUUUGAAUAGAGAAAUUAAUUUAGAUUAGGUGCAGUAUUAGCAAUGGUAAAUUCAAAGUUAGUAUUAGAGACCAAAAGUGAUUUAGUAGUAAUGAGGCAAAAGCUGAUGAUAUUGAAAUGAUAU